AGAUUUGGGCUCACAUCCACUUCUGUUUUCCGGAGGGGGUCCGCCAUCAUCGGCCGUGCGUGGUCCUUCUUAAACGGUACUCUGUGAGGCCCUCAGACUGGGGUUUCCACCCUGCUUGGCUGCUGAACCAGACACCAGCAGGCCUGUUUUGCGGCCGAGUCCGCUGAGACAGGACAGCAGGAGGAGGAAGGCACAAUGCCUCGGUGAGAUGACCAUGGAGCCACGAAUUUGUUUUCUUCUACCUGGAUUCAGCUUGUACUUCAACUUUGCAUCCAUGUUUCUAGAGAAAUCCCCACUGCUCUUCCUUUGCUGUUUGGUGCUGCUUGGGGGUGACCAAUGGGACUGGCAGGCUCCCCAGACCUUUAUACACUAGUUCCCCAAGUGAGUCCCGAAAGCCAAGGCUGUCUCUGGUCACACUAGAAGAAAAAGGAGGAAAUAAAAUGGUUAUUGUGCAAUA